ACACCUAUCUCCCCUCAGAGAGAUGGGAGACCUGAGACCCCUGGCAGGGGCAUCUUAAUCCAGGGCACAAUUCUUUGUGGUCUCACUGAAUUGCUUGCUUACAUCCUUUCUCAAACACCUUCUCAGGUCUCAGGGUGACCUGUUCAUUCUCCAUGUAUUGACACAAUGCACGUUCACUUGUGUUCAUCCACCAACAGGGGCCUCCAAGGAGCCACCACCCACUCCAACCAACCUCACAAAGAAGCAAGUGAAGCAGAAGGUGGAGAGCCUGACCACUCAGCUCCAGGUGAUGACCGCCCAAUGGAAUGAUCUGAGAGAUCGCCUCAUCUUAGUAACUGAAGGAUCCUUGGACAACAGACCCUACCACAGGGUAAAUCCUUUCUGGGAAAACAUCAAGAUGGAACAUCAGCAGGUCAUGUCAGACCUGCAGAAUUUCGAGAAUGAGAAUUUGGAGGCCUCACAGAAGUUAUGUGAGCUGACCAAGGAGAAAGUAUGCCUUGUGAUCUGCAGAGCCGGCUCCUGAUGGAGCAGAGUCAGUUGAAAAAGAAGUUGGACAUGCUGAGGCAAGAGAAGGAGAACCUACUGGAAGACUGGGACCUACUGAAGCACCACUUGGGUGACUUGAAAGUGCUCAGUAAGGUCCAAGAAGAGACCAGUGGACUCGAAAACCAGCAACAGCAGCAUCCUUUAGAAGAACUGAGGAGGUUGAGGGAAGCCAUAGUCAACCAGAAACCCUGACAUUCUCCACUCUACAGUCAAGGCCUCCUCAGAACAAGACAUGUACUUCUAACUAUAGAAUCACAAAUGAAGAAAAUAUCAACCACCCUGCAAGUGGUCCAUCCAUAAUCUAAUUCAUGUGUCUCUCUAGUUAUGGAGUAAGGAAACCAUCAGGAAAACGCUUGACAUAAAAAAAACAGCAAGAAUUAUGCAGAAAAAGCUGACAUUUACCCGCAAGUGUUCCCAGUGAUGGCCAAAACAACAUAGAGAGAGAAUAUGUUUCCAUUCAUAGUUGCUCUGGAAGUUUAUUGCUAUGAACUUUUGUUAGCCGACUGAGUCUUCAGCUCUUCUUAUGUGGAUGGAGAUAUAUCCACAGAGAAUGUGUUGCUGCUUUCCAGACAAACCACACAAAGGAAGCAUCAUAUUCUCACUCCAGUCGAGUGCUGGAGCGACUCACCUUCAAGCACAUGUGAUGGUGAAGUGAAUUGUUCUGAGAAAUGAUUUAGAAAGGAUGCCAUCAUGAGCUUUUAUGUCUUUGGGUAGCAGAUGCUCCCCAUGUCCUUAUUCAGUCUUAAAUCGGCACAGAAACUCAGGUUGCCUGACAGAAUCACAUAGUGGUCAACAUAGUUUAAGAUCAACUUUGGCAGGGGCUUAACCUAAAGGCCCCAAAGUGGCAUGACUACACUUGUCUUGAAGAGACCAUAAUGCCAAAUAUGGUUGUCUUCCAACUUGUGUCCAAAUCCAACCACAGGGUAUAGGAUAGUGCCACUAAAUCUGCAAGAAGAGAAUGCUUCUCAGUGUAAAUAGUUUUGGUUUGCUGUUGUGUUUGUUUCCAUUCAGGUUUUGAUUUUCUUUGUUUUGUUUGGUGUUUGAUAAUUUUUGGUUCUUUUGUUCUUUCUUUGAUUUUAUAUUUUGCUAAGGCUAUAUGCUGGAUAUACUAAAUGCCCUUUUAAAGCCCCUAUUGAGUCAAAUUUCUAUAAUUUCAUAAAUAAAAAAGCAAUUUCCAACUCUUCAGUCUUAUAGUAGCUUUAGUAGUCAGAUGUGGUAUUACACUCCUGUAACCUUAGAACUCAACAGGCAGAGAUGGAUCUCUGCAAGUUCCAGGAGGCUUAGGCUAGUGGGUUCCCAGCCAGGCAGGGUUGCAAACAGGGAUGGUGUCUUG